rnacentral:rRNA from 1 species
UGGGGAAUAUUGCACAAUGGGGGAAACCCUGAUGCAGCGACGCCGCGUGAGUGAAGAAGUAUUUCGGUAUGUAAAGCUCUAUCAGCAGGGAAGAUAAUGACGGUACCUGACUAAGAAGCCCCGGCUAACUACGUGCCAGCAGCCGCGGUAAUACGUAGGGGGCAAGCGUUAUCCGGAUUUACUGGGUGUAAAGGGAGCGUAGGUGGCAGGGCAAGUCAGAUGUGAAAACCCGGGGCUCAACUCCGGGAGUGCAUUUGAAACUGUCCAGCUAGAGUGCAGGAGAGGUAAGCGGAAUUCCUAGUG